CUGUGAAAAUAUAUAUAUAUAUAUAUAUAUAUAUAUAUAUAUAUAUACUUUUAAUUGAUUUUAAAACAUGUUUAAUAAUUUUUUAUUAUUCUUCCCACCAGCAGGGGGACUGUCUGACAUUUCAGACAGUCCCCCUGCUGGCAGAUCCACAGCCAGCUAUUGGGGCCCUGAUUUGCCGGGUGAGGGCUGCCUGGGCUGUGAGGCAGUCCUCCCGAAGUGGAGCGCUGGGAAGGUAAUUAUCCCAGCAGCUACAGGGCUCAAAGCCGUUACGGCGUUCUAUGCAAAUCGCACAUCCCCGUGGUGGCGACUUUGCAUGCGGAUGUCAUCCAUAUCAACUUUCGAUGCCAGUUUCUGCGCCUACCAUGGUGACCACGGGUAAUGGGGAAUCGGGGUUCCAUUCCGUAUAGGGACCCUGAGAAACGGCUACCACAUGCAAGGAAGGCAGCAGGCGCACAAAUGACGCACUCCCGACGCGGGAAGGUCGUGACGACAAAUAACAAUACAGGACUCUUUAGAGGCCCUGUAAUUGUAAUGAGUCCACUUGAAAUCCUUUAACUCUGAUCAAUUGGAGGGAAGUCUGGUGCAGAGCCACUGACCCGUGCGUGCUGCAGGCGAGCAGCAGCAGCGUGACAACGCCAAAAGCGCGCACCACCACUACAGUGAAUGUCACAUCCUGUUCCAA